rnacentral:rRNA from 1 species
GAUGAACGCUGGCGGCGUGCCUAAUACAUGCAAGUCGAGCGAACGGACGAGAAGCUUGCUUCUCUGAUGUUAGCGGCGGACGGGUGAGUAACACGUGGAUAACCUACCUAUAAGACUGGGAUAACUUCGGGAAACCGUAGCUAAUACCGGAUAAUAUUUUGAACCGCAUGGUUCAAAAGUGAAAGACGGUCUUGCUGUCACUUAUAGAUGGAUCCGCGCUGCAUUAGCUAGUUGGUAAGGUAACGGCUUACCAAGGCAACGAUGCAUAGCCGACCUGAGAGGAUGAUCGGCCACACUGGAACUGAGACACGGUCCAGACUCCUACGGGAGGCGGCAGUAGGGAAUCUUCCGCAAUGGGCGAAAGCCUGACGGAGCAACGCCGCGUGAGUGAUGAAGGUCUUCGGAUCGUAAAACUCUGUUAUUAGGGAAGAACAUAUGUGUAAGUAACUGUGCACAUCUUGACGGUACCUAAUCAGAAAGCCACGGCUAACUACGUG